GACGAACGCUGGCGGUGCGCUUAACACAUGCAAGUCGAACGGAAAGGCCUGCUUUCCCUUGUGGAUUGCGGGUACUCGCGUGGCGAACGGGUGAGUAACACGUGAGUGAUCUGCCCCCAACUUGGGUAUAAGCCUGGGAAACUGGGUCUAAUUCCCGAUAGGACUGCAGGUUGUUGCCUGUGGUGGAAUACGAUUUUCUUGUGUUUGGGGAUGAGUUCGUGGCCUAUCAGCUUGUUGGUGGGGUAAUGGCCUACCAAGGCGGUGACGGGUAGCCGGCCUGAGAGGGUGGACGGCCACAUUGAGACUGGGGUACGGCUCAGACUCAUACAGGAGGCAAAAGUGAGGAAUGUUGCACAAUGGGCGGAAGCAUGAUGCAGCGACGCCGCGUGAGGGAUGACGGCCUUCGGGUUGUAAACUCCUUCCGACCGAGGGGAAGCCACCUGGUUGGAAGGGAGGUGACGGUAGUGGUAGAAGAAGCACCGGCUAACUACGUG
rnacentral:rRNA from 1 species